CAUAAUUAGUCUUCCUUAUAUAUCGUCGUAAUUGGUCGACAGUUUCUACCUGGUACCGUAAAUACCGGACUAUAAGUGAAAAAAGUG
rnacentral:ncRNA from 1 species